AUUGAACGCUAGCGGGAUGCCUUACACAUGCAAGUCGAACGGAGUGGCGAACGGGUGAGUAAUGUAUCGGAACGUGCCCAUUAGCGGGGGAUAACUACGCCAAAUCGUAGCUAAUACCGCAUACUCUUGGAGCGGCCUAUACCGGAUUUGCUAGUGGUGGGGGUAACGGCUCACCAAGGCGACGAUCCGUAUCUGGUUUGAGAGGACGACCAGCCACACUGGAACUGAGACACGGCCCAGACUCCUACGGGAGGCAGCAGUGGGGAAUAUUGGACAAUGGGGGAAAGCCUGAUCCAGCCAUCCCGCGUGUGCGAUGAAGGCCUUCGGGUUGUAAAGCACUUUUGGCAGGAAAGCGGUACCUGCAGAAUAAGCACCGGCUAACUACGUGCCAGCAGCCGCGGUAAUAC
rnacentral:rRNA from 1 species